rnacentral:rRNA from 1 species
UUGUUCUCGCCAGCCCAUCGGUGGAAGGGUGAUUAAUGUCUGGGAAACUGCCUGAUGGAGGGGGAUAACUACUGGAAACGGUAGCUAAUACCGCAUAACGUCGCAAGACCAAAGUGGGGGACCUUCGGGCCUCAUGCCAUCAGAUGUGCCCAGAUGGGAUUAGCUGGUAGGUGGGGUAACGGCUCACCUAGGCGACGAUCCCUAGCUGGUCUGAGAGGAUGACCAGCCACACUGGAACUGAGACACGGUCCAGACUCCUACGGGAGGCAGCAGUGGGGAAUAUUGCACAAUGGGCGCAAGCCUGAUGCAGCCAUGCCGCGUGUGUGAAGAAGGCCUUCGGGUUGUAAAGCACUUUCAGCGGGGAGGAAGGCGAUAAGGUUAAUAACCUUGUCGAUUGACGUUACCCGCAGAAGAAGCACCGGCUAACUCCGUGCCAGCAGCCGCGGUAAUACGGAGGGUGCAAGCGUUAAUCGGAAUUACUGGGCGUAAAGCGCACGCAGGCGGUCUGUCAAGUCGGAUGUGAAAUCCCCGGGCUCAACCUGGGAACUGCAUUCGAAACUGGCAGGCUAGAGUCUUGUAGAGGGGGGUAGAAUUCCAGGUGUACCGGUGAAAUGCGUGGAGCUCGGGAGGAAACCGGUGG